CAGCACGUGGUUGUGGUACGGUG
rnacentral:piRNA from 1 species